AGUGAACGCUGGCGGUAGGCCUAACACAUGCAAGUCGAACGGCAGCACAGUAAGAGCUUGCUCUUACGGGUGGCGCGUGGCGGACGGGCGAGGAAUACAUCGGAAUCUACUUUUUCGUGGGGGAUAACGUAGGGAAACUUACGCUAAUACCGCAUACGACCUACGGGUGAAAGCAUGGGAUCUUCGGACCUUGCGCGAUUGAAUGAGCCGAUGUCGGAUUAGCUAGUUGGCGGGGUAAAGGCCCACCAAGGCGACGAUCCGUAGCUGGUCUGAGGGGAUGAUCAGCCACACUGGAACUGAGACACGGUCCAGACUCCUACGGGAGGCAGCAGUGGGGAAUAUGGGACAAUGGGCGCAAGCCUGAGCCAGCCAUACCGCGUGGGUGAAGAAGGCCUUCGGUUUGUAAAGCCCUUUUGUUGGGAAAGAAAAGCAGCAGGUUAAUACCCCGCUGUUCUGACGGUACCCAAAGAAUAAGCACCGGCUAACUUCGUG
rnacentral:rRNA from 1 species